AUGUAUGAUGGAAAAGACAAACCACAGUGGAUGCUAACUAGUGGCAGAAUAUUUUCUGUUAAAUAUUUAUAUAUGUUUCUCAUUAAGACUGAUGUGGGUUUCCCACACAAGUUCUUGUGGAAGGUGAAAACCCCUGCUAAAAUCAAAAUGUUCUUCUGGCUGCUAGCUCGCAAGAGUAUUCUAACCAAAGAUAAUUUGAUCAAAAAAGGGUGGAAAGGAGGAAAAGAAUGUGUGUUCUGUGGACAUGAGGAAAAUACCAACCGCCUGUUCUUUGAGUGUUCAGCUAACAGACUUGUCUUGUGUCUGAUAAAAUGUGCCUUUGAUUUGAGAACAAUGUUGGAACUGAUCUCAGGUUGUUAUAGACAGAAAUAA
rnacentral:rRNA from 1 species